UACGUAGGCAGCGAGCGUUGUUCGGAUUUACUGGGCGUAAAGGGUGCGUAGGUGGGCUAGUAAGUCAGUGGUGAAAUCUCCGGGCUUAACCCGGAAACUGCCAUUGAUACUAUUAGUCUUGAAUGUCGUGGAGGUAAGCGGAAUAUGUCAUGUAGCGGUGAAAUGCUUAGAUAUGACAUAGAACACCAAUUGCGAAGGCAGCUCACUACGCGAAUAUUGACACUGAGGCACGAAAGCGUGGGGAUCAAACAGG
rnacentral:rRNA from 1 species